rnacentral:misc_RNA from 1 species
GAUGAAGAACGCAGCGAAAUGCGAUAAGUGAUGUGAAUUGCAGAAUUCAGUGAAUCAUCGAAUCUUUGAACGCACAUUGCGCCCACUAGUAUUCUGGUGGGCAUGCCUGUUCGAGCGUCAUUUCAACCCUCAAGCCUGGCUUGGUGUUGGGGCUCUGCGUCUGCAGUCCCUUAAAUCCAGUGGCGGACACGCUAGGUCUCCGAGCGCAGUAGUUUCUCCUCGCUCAGGGCGUCCGGCGUGGGCUUGCCUCGCACCCAUCUUUUACAAGGUUGACCUCGGAUCAGGUAGGAAUACCCGCUGAACUUAAGCAUAUCAAUAAGCGGAGGA